GUGUGUGUAACUUGUGAUUUUGCCUUUCAGGUGGCCUCUCAUGGGCUUGAUCGAAGUUCAAAGGUGCUUCAGCAAACUACAAUUGGUUCUUUUUUCAUGUUUUAGCUUCAAAAUAUGUUGAACAAGGCAGAAUGGCACUUCGAAUCUUGGUUGUAAUUGCAAGAUUAUGCUAUUGUCCAUAUAAUCAACUUCUGGAUUUGAUGUAGCAGAGGCAGCGCCAAUCAAUUAAAUCUACAAUUCUUCUUGCGGUUAGGUUGCUAUUUGUUUCUGUAGUGGUGGUGGUGGUGGUGGUUUUUGUAUGAUCUGUUGUUGAGAGUACUGGAUUCUCUGUUUCUUAUGUUUCUUUAAUAGUAUUUCUUAAAAAUAAGAUCUUUAUGCAGGAAAAUCAUAAGGUACUGCGAAUUCUUUUGUUGAUUUAUUUGAAAUUUCAUCAGUUGGUCGGAGUUGGUACGAGUCUUUCUUAAACACACCCUGUUUCCCAUGUUACGACUGAGAUAACACGUGAGACAGACAUGAUGAACAAUAAGUUACAGUUACUAUUUACAGAUUAACUACUUCAGGUCAUAUAUUUUAAAUUUGUGGUACGUAUUAUUUUCUUGAAAAUGGGUUAAGAGAGUUUAUUUGCUUUAGAUAAUUAAUAUAAAACCUCAGAAAAGCAAUUGCUGGACAUUAUCGACAUGGCCCUUUUCUCUUCUGAGUCACUGGGUCAAACAUCUCAAAUUGUGUUGGCACUCUAGUUUUGGCACCUUUAUUGACACUCGUGUCCAAGUCCAAGUCCAAUCAGCAUUUCCCUAGUAGCAUGUCAGCGCUGUGAUUUCGAGAUUUUGAUCUUUAUCUCAUGAUUAUCUACGUUCCACAGGUGAUAUGGAUUGGCUUAGUGGUCCUUGGCAUUGGUUCUUCGGCAAGCAGCUUUUUUCUUCUCACCGAUUGCGUUAUGUAUAGCUCGUUUUAUAAGCUGUAAAAAUUUGAUUGGUUGGUUUUUUACUACAUUUGGUUAUAUAGUAAUCCCAGAUUAGUGUGAUGUAGAUAACGUAACCAGCUCUAUGGCUUGGUAAAGGUGUGUAAUGUUUUGUACUUGAUAUCUGCCCUGUGGAUCCUAGUAAGAUGGAAGCGCU